GUGGCUGCAGCAUGUAUUCUAAAGUUGGAAUUGUUCAAGGAAGAUUAGCAUGGUUCCUGCACAAGGAAGACACAAAUUUGAGAAAUGUUCCAUAUUUUG
ensembl:snRNA U6 U6 spliceosomal RNA